GUGUGUGUGUGUGUGUGUGUGUGUGGACUGAUUAUGGACUGAGCUGUGAGAGUCUAGGUUGGAACCCUGGAGGUAGAAACACAACCCAACUCUGAACUGAACUCCCAGAAUGAGUCUAGACAGACGGAGGGAAACGGCCCCAUGAUAUAAGAGACUGGACUCAUAUGAACCACACAGACAUAUUGACAUAGAUAUUAUCUCCUGUUUGUAGCCACUAUCUCCAUUUCAAAGAGAUCUACUGAAGAGACUAUUAGAGAGAGAGACCAUACAUUUCCUUUAUUUGUGUGAGUAUUGGGCCGAGCAGAACCAAGGAUAGUAUGUGUGUUUCAGCUGCUGGUUCUGUUUUGGUUUACAGAUGCUGAAAUUGCCCUGAAGCCAUUUUUGAAUACAAAAACCUUCUCAUAAAAAAAACACACAGAAUGCUCAUGUAUGAAUUGGAUCCCAGGAAGUAUUCUGCCAUUUUGACAGAUACCUGAACAAUGAACAUGUUUACUUCACCUGUGUGUUUUGUGUAUCUCCCAAAGAUAGAUAUAUAAUUUGUAAUGUGGAUAUUUCAGACAUUGGACAGAAUAGCACAAAAAGAACCCUGUAAGAUGUUGACCACGUUAAGCUCAAUAUGUAUUCAUUCUAUGCUAGCCUAAGCUUUCUGUUCUGCUGAUGCCUGACCGUGGGGUCUCAUGAAGACUGUAUUUAUACUGGGUUGUAAAUAACACUGAACUCAGAAGUGCAUCUCGUUUUACAUGUUUUGUGUCUUUCUGUUCUUGAGAAAAAGUGUGAUGCUUUGGAAAACACACCGUGAUUGUCAGUCUGUAGGAUAUGUCUAUGGUGUUGGUUUAGCUGCAUCUUUGGUUCAAUUGAUAUAUUGGUCCUUGUGUAUCUGAAGAAGCUGCAGUGCUCAGAACGACCUGCAGGGGUCUCCCUCCCACUGAGAAACACUAGAUCAGUUCCUAUAGAACAGGGCUGGCCAGUAUUCUAACAGAGGGUCGGUAUGGUGUAGGCUUUUGCUCCAGCCAAGCAGAAACACACCUGAUUCAAUAUCCUCUGGUGGAUGUUAUCAUUGGAUGUUGAUGCAACACCACACACAUCUUUAAAUGCAGUGUUAACCUACAGCAGGGUUUCCCUGUGGUGUAGUAGGAGCUACACGAAGGUAUACGCCCUGAACCCCACAGAGGUUUAAACAGUGGUGUAGUAGGAGCUACACGGAGGUAUACGUCCUGAACCCCACAGAGGUUUAAACAGUGGUGUAGUAGGAGCUACACGGAGGUAUACGUCCUGAACCCCAAAGAGGUUUAAACAGUGGUGUAGUAGGAGCUACACGGAGGUAUACGCCCUGAACCCCACAGAGGUUUAAACAGUGGUGUAGUAGGAGGUAUACGCCCUGCGCCCCACAGAGGUUUAAACAGUGGUGUAGUAGGAGCUACACGGAGGUAUACGUCCUGAACCCCACAGAGGUUUAAACAGUAGUGUAGUAGGAGCAACACGGAGGUAUACGUCCUGAACCCCACAGAGGUUUAAACAGGGGUGUAGUAGGAGCUACACGGAGGUAUACGUCCUGAACCCCACAGAGGUUUAAACAGUGGUGUAGUAGGAGCUACACGGAGGUAUACGCCCUGCGCCCCACAGAGGUUUAAACAGUGGUGUAGUAGGAGCUACACGGAGGUAUACGCCCUGAACCCCACAGAGGUUUAAACAGUGGUGUAGUAGGAGGUAUACGUCCUGAACCCCACAGAGGUUUAAACAGUGGUGUAGUGGGAGCAACACGGAGGUAUACGUCCUGAACCCCACAGAGGUUUAAACAGUGGUGUAGUAGGAGCUACACGGAGGUAUACGUCCUGAACCCCACAGAGGUUUAAACAGUGGUGUAGUAGGAGCUACACGGAGGUAUACGUCCUGCGCCCCACAGAGGUUUAAACAGUGGUGUAGUAGGAGCUACACGGAGGUAUACGUCCUGAACCCCACAGAGGUUUAAACAGUGGUGUAGUAGGAGCUACACGGAGGUAUACGUCCUGAACCCCACAGAGGUUUAAACAGUGGUGUAGUAGGAGCUACACGGAGGUAUACGUCCUGAACCCCACAGAGGUUUAAUUAUGUGGUACAAUAGAGAAAGUAGCCUACACAAUCGCAAAGCACGUAAAAUAUAUUCACACGUUUGCUGCACACAGCCAAAUUUCAGCAGAAUUUCAUGGCAGUAAGAGCUGGUUGUCCCAUGGAGCAGCUCACAGCUGGUAGGUAGGACUUGCCUAGUUAAAUAAAGGUUAAAUGAAUCAAAUCAAAUGACAAUGGGUAAGCAAACCAGGUAUUGAAACCGUUUGGUCCAAAGUCUUGGUUGAAUCUUUGCAGUGUUCAAUUCAGUCAUCAUGUGCUGUUUUGAAUGAACAUUUCCAAAUGCUUUCCCAAGGAAAACGUCCUAAUUAAAGCUGCAAUAUGUAACUUUGGGCGACCCAACAAGUUCACAUUGACAUAUCUUUAACUCACAUUUCUUUCUCAUUGAAAGCAAGUCUAAUAAGUGGUAGAUAUGUUCUAUGUGCACUAUUUCUAUGCUUCCCAUUCUUAAGUUUAGUUUUUAUUUUGUUUUGUACACCAGUUUCAGAUGGCUGAAAAUACAAUAUUUUUGGUUAUGGAAAAUAUAUUGCAGAGGUUUAGAUGGUACAAAGAGACUCUAUACAAUUACUUAGUCACAUAAACUGAAAUUAACAGAAAUUAGGCGAACUUAGAAUUUUAGCAACCAGGAAAUGUCGGAGAUAUUUCUGUAUAGUGCAUCUUUAAAUGUUGACCGCAAGUUAGGCCUACGUGAUAUAAUUAUGAUUUGUAUCAAUCUGGAGGGCAUUUCUUUUGAAAACUCUUCCAUCACAUGUACUCUACUGUAGGUCUACAUUGUAGAGUACAGACACUGCCAGCCACAUGCUAUUUUGCUAGGUGCUUAAUUAUUUUAAAGGGCAACUAGACCCUCCCAAAAAUAUUCUUUUAGAUUUUUCCCAGACCUCAGAAAUGGUCUCCUUAUGUGGUAUAAGCAUUGAUGUGGGCUUAACAUGCAUUUGUUGUUUUUCUAUGAAAGAUUUUCUGUCAAAAUGAUGGUAUACUCACUUCUCCAGGCACCACUACACCAAUGGGUUUUCCUGUAUCUGUGAGUGAUUUCAUUUGGGACCUGAAUCUCCAACAGGCUUACUUCUGACAGGCUUGGUCUGUUUACUCGAUGGAUCAUCAUGCAUCACUCCCAUAGGCUGCUUCACUUGUCAAUCAUGUCUCUGCUAUCUCGCCCUCUAAUCUGCGAUAUCUCUCUCUCAAACACUCUGUCUCUCGUCGUCAACUCUUUCUUUCAGUAAGAUAUUAAGCAAGCUCUACUUCUCUUAUCCUACAGUAUCUUCACCUGUCUGACAAAUCAAGCAGAUGAGAAAAUAAAACAAUCUGAAGAGAACCACACAGGGUUGAAUUGAUGAAAGCUGAAGUCAUUUAGAAAUUUAACUUAUUGACUUAUUGUAAUGAAAUGUAACAUUAUUUUAAAUGAAAUGAUUUAUUAAUGCAAAACAUUGUCUUCUCUCCUUUGGUGUCUCCAACUCUAAUCUCAAUUACCUAGUUUCUAGUGCACAAGAAUGAAAAGUGUGUGUGGGGGGGAGGCACUUGACACCAGUCUGUGAUUUGUGUUUGUCCAUCGAUUAUUUCAUUGAUAAACACCCUGGUAGAUAUCGGGUGAUGGAGAGAUAAUAAUGUAUUGUUCCACUGAAGCCAAAUGCUAUCUAAGAGAAGUAUGUUUUCUGCUGCACACAGAAUGGACCAUUUACAGUAUUACACCGUUUUCUACACAUCUUAAAUCAGAAUGGACAUAUUACCACCCCCAGCUGCUCUCUCUUCCUCUCUCUCUUUUCCCCUCUUCC